GCUGGCUGGAACUGCUGCAGGGACUGGGCCUUGGCGGGGUCCCCAGCUCAUUCUCUCUUGACGUGGGUGACUUACUUUGUUUCCCCAGGAGUCAGCUGGCCUUGGGAAGCCCUGAGGACUCAGAGAGUUGAGUCAAGAUCUUGGAACUGUUUUCAUCUGGAGCCCAAUCCUGGCUCUCCUGCUGCUGGCUAGGACAGGGAAGAGGACAGGAGGGCUGUGGCUGGCCUUGGCUUCAUUCCUCCCUCUGCUGGGGUUGGAGGAGCUGGACAGAAUGCUGGACACAGAGGCAGGAGGUUGGAGUGGCCAUGACCAAGGAAUGCAUGGGCGAGACAGAGGGCUGGAGGGCUGUCUCAGGCAUCGUCAUGAGCCUUGAUAGUACGGCCCAUCCUCUUCCUUCUAAGCCCCGCAUCACAGCAGCUUUCACUGAACAGUCCAGGAAGAGCAGAACUAAGAGAGGACACCAGGUUCAACGUGCCAAAGUUUCUGCUUCACCGGGGAGGAGUGGAAAGAGCUCCAGGCGACUUGGCCAUGGCAGAAACCAUACGGGAUUGUCUGAGUCAACACAUAAUGACUUUCUGACAUAACAGCCAAUAAAAGCUCACACUGGC
rnacentral:lncRNA from 1 species